AUACCCCACCUUCCAAGGAAACUAAUGUCAGAUCCCUCUCCUUUAGCGCCACCGCCAAAAACCGAGCUCACAUCGUGGCUUCUGGCGGUGGCAGGGGCCCGCCAGCCCUGCCUGCGGCACCUGGGCAGGCGUCGCACCUCCCGCCUCUGGGCGGGACGGAAGGAAAGCGCGCUCCUCCUACGUCAUCGCCGCGCGCCGCUGCCUUCGCCUUCUUCCACUUCGCGGGAGAAGUUGUUGGCGCGAAUGGAUCCCGAGCCCCGAUAA